rnacentral:rRNA from 1 species
CGUUGUAUCUGGUCGUCGAAAGUGGGCGUCCGUACGGGCUCGCUAGUCUGGUACAUCCCAGGCAACACUGUCAAAUUGCGGGGACUCCUAAAGGCCGAUGCCACUCCCUCCUGCUGGAAACGGCAGGAGGUCGUAAAAGUGCACGGCAUGAUCGGGCUUCCACGGCCCGUGAAGUGGACGAUCCGCAGCCAAGUCCUACGGCCUCGCUAUCGCGGCUACGGAUGCAGCUCACAGACUAGAUGUCAGUGGGGGAGGCCCGAGAACCGGGCCACCUUAAGAUAUAGUCGGGCGCCAGCUGAGAGGCUGGCGGUAGUGCAGAUACCGUCGUAGUCUUAACCAUAAACUAUGCCGACUAGGGAUCGGGCGAUGUUAUCUUUUUGACUCGCUCGGCACCUUACGAGAAAUCAAAGUCUUUGGGUUCUGGGGGGGGUAUGGUCGCAAGGCUGAAACUUAAAGAAAUUGACGGAAGGGCACCACCAGGAGUGGAGCCUGCGGCUUAAUUUGACUCAACACGG